AUGACUAAAGAAAAAUAAUAUAUUUUUCAUUGAAGGCAUGAAGAUUGUCCCACUUGAUAUGCUCCAUUCUUGAAGUGAAUGUGACAACGACGCAUAAUAAGCCUGAAUAAAGAGAAGUGGUUGAACGAUGAACGUGAGCGUUCCAAAGAUCAAAACAAUAAUAAUGAAUGAAGAUAAGUGGUUGAACAAUAAACGUGAGCGUUCCAAAGAUCAAAAAAAUAACAAUCAUCACUGUAAUUAUAAAAGGAGAACAAUAAAAAUUCUCAAAAUAGUCCUUCAAAAUGUGAAGGCAAUAUUUACCAUCAAAUUGGUAUGAAACUAAUAAAGCACGUCACUAAUUAUGAUCCAUUUCUUAAAGAAAAUGUGACU
rnacentral:lncRNA from 1 species